GUGAACGCUGGCGGUAGGCCUAACACAUGCAAGUCGAACGGCAGCACAGUAAGAGCUUGCUCUUACGGGUGGCGAGUGGCGGACGGGUGAGGAAUACAUCGGAAUCUACUUUUUCGUGGGGGAUAACGUAGGGAAACUUACGCUAAUACCGCAUACGACCUACGGGUGAAAGCAGGGGAUCUUCGGACCUUGCGCGAUUGAAUGAGCCGAUGUCGGAUUAGCUAGUUGGCGGGGUAAAGGCCCACCAAGGCGACGAUCCGUAGCUGGUCUGAGAGGAUGAUCAGCCACACUGGAACUGAGACACGGUCCAGACUCCUACGGGAGGCAGCAGUGGGGAAUAUUGGACAAUGGGCGCAAGCCUGAUCCAGCCAUACCGCGUGGGUGAAGAAGGCCUUCGGGUUGUAAAGCCCCUUUGUUGGGAAAGAAAAGCAGCAGGUUAAUACCCCGCUGUUCUGACGGUACCCAAAGAAUAAGCACCGGCUAACUUCGUG
rnacentral:rRNA from 1 species